rnacentral:misc_RNA from 1 species
GAAGUGCGAUAAGCAAUGCGAAUUGCAGAACCGUGAGUCAUCAGAUUUUUGAACGCAACUGGCGCCGGCUGGCUCUCCAGUCGGCAUGCUUGUUUCAGUGUCUUGUUUUCUCCUCACCUAAAUCUUAAUGCGAGAGAUACCCUUCUCUUGCUAAGCAUGAAAGCACUAUGAGUUUUGCCAGUAACUUCGGUUACACUCAAUGCAUCGGUCACAUUUUUAAUGUGAACUCAUUGAGAGCAGAUUCAGCGCAGCUUAGGCUGUAAAGUGCUUAGUCACUCAAACUUUCUUUGCAUCUGAAAUCAAGCAGGAUCACCCGCUGAACUUAA